AUGGCUCUAAAGGCUCAGUUCAACUUGGGCAGAGAAUGCUAUGACGCAAUUAUGACAGUAUUUGGACGCUUUCUACCCAAAGGCCAUGUAAUGCCUGCAAACCUGUACCAGUCGGACAAAAUCCUCCGUGCACUGAAGAUGCCCUAUGAGAAGAUACAUGCCUGUGAGAAAGGAUGUGCCUUAUUUAGGCUUGACUAUGCGGACUUGAACUAUUGUCCCAUUUGCAAGUCUUCCAGGUAUAUUGUGGUAGAUAACGGUAUGGGUGAGGAGACACAGACCAAAAUCCCCGUUAGUGUUCUUCGGUAUAUGCCAAUCGUACCAAGACUUCAACGUCUUUUAAUGGUCGAAGAGACGGCCAGACAGAUGACAUGGCACAAAACAGGUAAACGAACCGAACUAGAUAAUUCCAGGACCCAACUAUCCGGGCAAAAAUAUGAAUGUGUACAUGCAGCCGCUUAA
rnacentral:rRNA from 1 species